UUGAAUAUCUAUACUAUACUAAAAGUUGGAUAUCCUCCAAUUCUAAACUAUCCACGUCAGAUUAAAAAUUCAAGCCAACCAGUGUUUGCCAGCUCAUUCUAAUAUUCAGAUCAGCUAAUAUUUACAUCUUUCUUUCGACCCUUCGUCUCUCUCAUUCUCCACCAUGAAACUCUUAACCUUAUCUCAGUUUCCCUUUACCCAUUAAAAAACGGGGGAAAACCGGCGGCUGCUACUCCUAGCAAACACAAAAGCCAAUUCCAAGACGGUUCAUCAUCGACGGCUCCGACUUCUCUCUUUUCUCAACGGCGUUCUUACUGGACGUGAAUAUGAAGAAACCCUAAACAUUGUGACAGGAGGCCUCCUAAUUGGCCUUGAGAUGCUGUUGAAGCAGAAGCGCAGAAGAGAGAAGUUGCUGCUGGUGACUUAUCUCCCAGUGAUGGAAAAUAUUUGAUGCCGGUUACUUUGUGUCUCAGUAAGCAAGCUACUCGAUAGUUUCUAUCAUAGUUUUCUGCAAGAUCAUGACCAUAAUUACGGCCAGGGCCAGCGAAGCACAAGAACAUGUUACAGCUAGAGUUCUUUGAAAAGCUAUUUGUUCAUUACCUUACAAAAAUUCCUGAUUGGUGGCUGCGGUUUACUAUCUUCUAUGUUUCUGUUUACAGUUAAUCACAUGUAAGACACAAAGUAAAUGUCCGCAGAAAAAUACGAUAUCCUGAACUUCAGAAAUAGUACGAAAAGGUUCACAACUACUCAUCAGAAAUCCAGGGAAAUUGGUAAAUAUGAUUAGGAGAGUAAAGUAUUUCGAGAUCCAACCAGAGAGCCACAGACCGACUUCUAUGGUGUGGCUCUGCCGAUGGAAAUCUUUUUUCCCAUGUGCUAAUGGAUACGGUAACAGAACAAUGCACAUCAACAUACUCGAGAGUUAAAGUGAAAGAAUAAAUAAGAACGAGGACAUGCUAGGCGGAUCAAAAGCACCACCAAUGGCCAAGCAAAACGCUACGUCUGGUACUCUUGCAAGUAGGGAGUUCUAUAAAGAAUCUUCUCAGCCUUCCAACGCUUUGAAAAAGACAACAGUGGAUAUAUCACAAUGGAAGCGCUGGAGCAGUCCCUGAGGGACAUUAAUGGUGGAAGAGACAUUAAUGAAAUUAUUUCUGAAGUUGAUGGAGAAAAAUAGUUUCAAAGAAGGGGAGCUUCGCCACUUCUUCCUCUUUGUGUCAAAUCUAUAGAAACGUCUGUUUCGUUCCAUUUAAGGCGGCUCCUCUGCGGCUUCUCGGUGUCAUUUCCAACUUCAUACAUUUUACACAUGGGAUGCUAACAAGUAACAACUUGCUAUCGUAAAUAAGGAUGAUAAAAGACAUAAACAUGGGGAAAAUACACUUUGUAUUAUGAGAGAACUGCAUCAGUUUAAAAUAUUGUAAUUGUCGAGUGGGAGAACGGAGUACUGAAUUAAUUUACACACUGUAUUAGCAGCC